CAGUCGAGGGGCAACGGGGAUGUUAGCUUGCUAAUAUCUGCCGGCGACCGGCGCACGGGUGAGUAACGCGUAUGCGACCUGCCCGUCACAGGGGGAUAAUCCGGAGAAAUCCGGUCUAAUACCGCAUAAUAUCGUGAAGCUGCAUGGUUUUGCGAUUAAAGGAGCGAUCCGGUGACGGAUGGGCAUGCGUGACAUUAGCUAGUCGGCGGGGUAACGGCCCACCGAGGCGACGAUGUAUAGGGGUUCUGAGAGGAAGGUCCCCCACACUGGUACUGAGACACGGACCAGACUCCUACGGGAGGCAGCAGUGAGGAAUAUUGGUCAAUGGGCUUACGCCUGAACCAGCCAAGUCGCGUGAGGGAAGACUGCCCUAUGGGUUGUAAACCUCUUUUGUCAGGGAGCAACGCCGGCUACGUGUAGCCGGACUGAGAGUACCCGAAGAAAAAGCAUCGGCUAACCCCGUGCCAGCAGCCGCGGUAAUACGGAGGAUGCGAGCGUUAUCCGGAUUUAUUGGGUUUAAAGGGUGCGCAGGCGGAAGAUCAAGUCAGCGGUAAAAUUGAGAGGCUCAACCUCUUCGAGCCGUUGAAACUGGUUUUCUUGAGUGAGCGAGAAGUAUGCGGAAUGCGUGGUGUAGCGGUGAAAUGCAUAGAUAUCACGCAGAACUCCGAUUGCGAAGGCAGCAUACCGGCGCUCAACUGACGCUCAUGCACGAAAGUGU
rnacentral:rRNA from 1 species